rnacentral:RNase_P_RNA from 1 species
CCAGGGGGCCGGGCAGCCGCGGAUGCUAGCAUCCGAGGAAAGUCCGGGCUCCACGAAACCAGGGUGGCGGGUAACGCCCGCCGGGGGUGACCCCAGGGAAAGUGCCGCAGAAAGCAAACCGCCGAUGGCCCGCUUGCGGGAUCAGGCAAGGAUGAAAGGGUGCGGUAAGAGCGCACCGGGGCGCUGGUAACAGGGCUCGCACGGUAAACCCCACCCGGAGCAAGGCCGAAUAGGGGCGGCACGUUCCCGAAAGGGAGCAGAUGCGUUUCGCAUCGACCGCCCGGGUUGGCUGCUUGAGCCAUGGGGCAACCCAUGGCCCAGACGAAUGGCUGCCGCCGCGGAUACGGUCCGGUCUUCCGGAUACCGUCUGCGGAGACAGAACCCGGCUUACAGGCCCCCUGGCAUC